UGUUCACACAGGGAGCCCAUCCAGCAGGAUGUUUUGGAUGCUGGCUUGCCUGUCCACGGAGCCACGGAUGGUGACAUCAGCAAAUGUCCCUGCUAUGCUGCCAAAAUGACGACGUCGAGUGGAACAUCAUGACGUCAACUUGCCAUGGCCGACCUCCGACACCCAACGGGACAGGUUCUGUUUGCGUGUGAUCCCGCUUCCAGCCUGUCAUUUUGCUGCUGAGAGAGGGAGAGGGAGAGAGGGAGAGGGAGGAGAAACAUUGAAGGAAGGCGAAUAAGGAGAUUGAGACCAUUUCAUAGUUUAAUACAAACAUUCUUUAGGGGUCCAAGCUAAUUCAAUAUUGCACUUAAAAACUGUAACUGGCUAUACAGCUGACAAUGAUGCACCUAUAAACAAUACACUGUUACACAAGUACAGUUCUUUUUUAAAUCCAUUCUCACAUUUCGUAAUUCAUACUCGGCCUCCAGAAAGUUGGUACAUGUGCACAAGUGAUAGAAAUCCGAUGCUGUUUUUCAAGACAUAGCACACCUACACUUUGACAAGUGCAUGUUUUAUUAAAACUAUUUCAGAUAAUUGAA